UUGGCUCGUUUCUGUGCGACACAGGGUAUCCGACUGGACUUAGCGUCCGUUGCCCACCCACAGUCAAACGGCCAAGUCGAGCGAGCAAACGGCCUCAUCCUGUCCGAAAUCAAGCCCCGACUGGUCGAGCCUUUGGAGCGUUCGGCCGGCUGCUGGAUCGACGAGCUGCUGUCCGUCCUCUGGAGUCUGCGCACCACUCCGAACAAGUCAACCGGCUUCACCCCCUUCUUCCUCGUGUAUGGUGCCGAGGCGGUCAUCCCAACCGACAUCGAGUUUGACUCACCUCGCGUCACCAUGUACACCGAGGCGGAGGCCAAGUAA
rnacentral:rRNA from 1 species